rnacentral:rRNA from 1 species
GUGUCAGCAGCCGCGGUAAUACGUAGGUUGCGAGCGUUAUUCGGAUUUACUGGGCGUAAAGCGCACCGAGGUGGCUUCUUUAGUUGGAUGUGAAAUCUCCCGGCUUAACUGGGAGGCGCUAUUCAAUACUGGGAAGCUUGAGACCAGCAGGGGAAAGUGGAAUUCCCGGUGUAGUGGUGGAAUGCGUAGAGAUCGGGAGGAACACCAGUGGCGAAAGCGACUUUCUGGGCUGCGUCUGACACUCUAGUGCGAAAGCGUGGGGAGCAAACAGGAUUAGAUACCCGGGUAGUCC